UUCCACAGUUACUGGUCUGGAACUGUUCAGAACAAUAGCAGUUGCAGUAUUCCAUCUGUGGAAAAUAAACUGUUAUAUUGUAUUGCGUUCCUUCCUCAGUUUAUCUGAAAAGGAUCUCUGAAUGUAACAUACAAAA
rnacentral:snoRNA from 1 species